UACGUAGGGGGCAAGCGUUGUCCGGAAUCAUUGGGCGUAAAGAGCGUGUAGGCGGCCCGAUAAGUCCGCUGUGAAAGUCCAGGGCUCAACCCUGGGAUGCCGGUGGAUACUGUCGGGCUCGAGUCCGGAAGAGGAGUGUGGAAUUCCUGGUGUAGCGGUGAAAUGCGCAGAUAUCAGGAGGAACACCAAUGGCGAAGGCAGCACUCUGGGACGUGACUGACGCUGAGACGCGAAAAGCGUGGGGGAGCAAA
rnacentral:rRNA from 1 species